AGGGGGUUGGAGAGUGAGCUCUCCCGGGGACAAUGCUGGGGCCUGAGCGGGCUCCAGGGCUCCAGGAGGCUCUGGAGCAGGGGAUGGCUCUCCCUGCUCCCUGGCGACCAUUUCAGCCUGCCCCGGGGCACUGGCAGGAGCCCGAGCAGGGGAUGGCUCUCCCUGCUCCCUGGCGACCACUUCAGCCUGCCCCGGGGCACUGGCAGGAGCCGGGGCAGGGGAUGGCUCUCCCUGCUCCCUGGCGACCACUUCAGCCUGCCCCGGGGCACUGGCAGGAGCCAGAGCAGUGGAUGGCUCUCCCUGCUCCCUGGCGACCACUUCAGCCUGCCCUGGGGCACUGGCAGGAGCCCGAGCAGGGGAUGGCUCUCCCUGCUCCCUGGCGACCACUUCAGCCUGCCCCAGGGCACUGGCAGGAGCCGGAGCAAGGGAUGGCUCUCCCUGCUCCGUGGUGACCACUUCAGCCUGCCCCCGGGCACUGGAAGGAGCCGGGGCAAGGGAUGGCUCUCCCUGCUCCCUGGUGACCACUUCAGCCUGCCCCGGGGCACUGGCAGGAGCCGGAGCAGGGGAUGGCUCUCCCUGCUCCCUGGCGAGCACUUCAGCCUGCCCCGGGGCACUGGCAGGAGCCGGAGCAGGGGAUGGCUCUCCCUGCUCCCUGGCGACCACUUCAGCCUGCCCCCGGGCACUCGCAGGAGCCGGAGCAGGGGAUGGCUCUCCCUGCUCCCUGGCGACCACUUCAGCCUGCCCCGGGGCACUGGCAGGAGCCGGAGCAGGGGAUGGCUCUCCCUGCUCCCUUGCGACCACUUCAGCCUGAACCGGGGCACUGGCAGGAGCCAGGGCAGGGGAUGGCUCUCCCUGCUCCCUGGCGACCACGUCAGCCUGCCCCGGGGCACUGGCAGGAGCCGGAGCAGGGGAUGGCUCUCCCUGCUCCCUGGUGACCACUUCAGCCUGACCCGGGGCACUGGCAGGAGCCCGAGCAGGGGAUGGCUCUCCCUGCUCCCUGGCGACCACUUCAGCCUGCCCCGGGGCACUGGCAGGAGCCCGAGCAGGGGAUGGCUCUCCCUGCUC
rnacentral:lncRNA from 1 species